UACGUAGGGAGCAAGCGUUGUCCGGAAUCAUUGGGCGUAAAGGGCGCGUAGGUGGCGACCCAAGUCCAUGGUGAAAGCUCGAUGCUCAACAUCGAGUCGGCCACGGAUACUGGGUUGCUGGAGCACUGUAGAGGCAGAUGGAAUUCCGGGUGUAGCGGUGGAAUGCGUAGAGAUCCGGAGGAACACCAAUAGCGAAGGCAGCUCGCUGGGACGUUACUGACACUGAGGCGCGAAAGCGUGGGGAGCGAACAGG
rnacentral:rRNA from 1 species